UUACUAACCUAUCGAUUUGACACAUCAAGCAUCUGUGCUGCUUUCGAUGAAUCGAAAGCAUCACUAAAAAUAUUUAUUCUCGAUAUAUAUUUUUGACCAGUGCUGCCACUUAGCCAUUAUUGCGCGCCAACUUUAAAAACAGCCAGUUAACGAGCAGCGCAAGAUGGAUAAGCAAAACCCCAAUAGGAAUAUACCCAGUUUUACGUCUGUUUGCGGCUCUCACCGCAUCUGCAGCAAAUCCAAGAUGUUAUACACGCGCCCCAAACCGGAUGUACUUCAAAGCAUAUUGCAAUCCAAGGCGAAUUCGGAAUAUAAAUCGCGUCGGUUGUGGUAUGAACUCAAUAUGCCAGAAUGCGCUAGUCAUCUGUUUGAUGGCCAAAUGCUAUCGGAUGUGCCCGAAAGUUUCACCUGUACAAAGUCGCGAACGCGUCGGCGGCAACCCGAUAAACCAGACGAUGGUGAGUACAGGAGUAAGGGAUCAUCAAAUUAUAUGGUCAUGCGGCAGGAGCGUGAGCAUUUCCGUGCCAAGCUGGUCGAGCUGAUAUUGCACAUGGAAGAUGAUCCAGAUCCCACAGCCGAGAAGUCAGAUACCUUUCCCGAUCAAAACGAACGCGAAGUCUUACGAUAUUAUUACUACAUUAAGCAUGGCAUUGACACCAUUCAUGUGUCCACCAUCAGCAAAAAGACCCUCAAGAGGAUUGAUAAUCUAGUGCCGGCCCUAUUAAAAAAAUGGGAUUCAGCAUUUGUCGAGAACAUUGCCGAGGUGCGUUCCGAUUUUGUGUUUGCCAUGAAGAAGGCUGUUGUAGAUUUUGUUCUACGCCACUCGGUACUGGACAGACUGACCCACGAGGGUAUACCAGCUACAUUUGAAACGGCAGAACGUCGGGAAAUUGGAAAGUUGAUGAGCCAUUGGCGCUAUCGUUACGAUGAGAAUCGCAAUCGCCUCAAGACGACACUUUUUUCUAUCCAUCGAAGCGUUGCCAGCAUUCUGGAAGUAUGGAGCAUGAAGUACAGCUCCAAGACCCUGGUCAAUAUCGAGGAACUUAGCAAGGUCGAAGAGCCGUUCACCCUAUUCAAUUUUGUCUAUCUGUGUGGGUCCCAUAUAGACAACGGGAAGAACAUGUUGGAGGAUGUCUGGUAUGGUGAGAUACACACGACACUGCUCAGGGCCAGUAAACGUGGACAAUUGCCGGAUAUACGUCGCAUGACAUUGGUCAAGCGCUUCUUCAAUUGUGUUGCCGCUUUGAUGACCCAACAACUGGAGGAUAUUUGCAUACGCAGCCUCAAAGCAUUCGCCGAUUAUGUUUGCGACUUUGGUAAAUCGAAUCCCGGCUUUGAAAUCUCCUGUAUAUUGGCCGAUGAGGAUACGAUUACAUUUAAUCCGGGCUUCUCGAAAAUACAAAGCGAACUGUUGCGCGUCAUUGAUUCGAUUGUGCAUUCUGUGCAGAUGUUGCCACGCAUCGAGGGUAAACUGUACACGGAUCUCAAGAUCUCCAAGAAGCUCUUUCUGACGCCCACUGUGCCGGAUAGCAUUGUGGCCGAUACAAAGAACAGGAUAUGCAUGAUGCUUGAGGAACAGCGCAUUGGACCAGAGCUGCGUUUACAGGACUUUGACGCAUUUAUUGAUCUGAUCAAUAGCGUAGAUUCGGAACGCUGUGGCCGCUUCAUGGAGGGCGACGCCUCGUUUGAGCAGUAUACGGAAAUGGUUUACGAGUACAGGGAGAAGGAAGAUCGCAUUGCGAAAGAGGUGUGGGGCAUUAUACGCAUGGGCCUCUAUGAGUUUCAUCGGGACAGUUUCAUCACUCAUCUAGAGCAAUUGGCCAGGCAAUUGCAAACGGAUCUGCUAGCUCGCAUGGUGGCCGAUCAGCAGUCACGUAUCUCGCGGCUGGGCAAGGAGUACGAUAUGAUUGCGAAGAAGGCGUUAACCGUGCCCAAGGACACGGCCGAACUAAUGGAGCUGAAGGCAUAUGUGGUGCAUGCCGAGGAGAAUCUAGUGCCGGAAAUGGAGGCGCGCCUGAAGAUCAACAUGAAUGAAAUACUAUGGCUAAUGGAUCAGACACUCUACUCGCCGCUGGAGAUUAAGAAUAAUAGCAACACCUUUCAAUGGUAUUUGAAACUGGCCUCGGUGUUUGAUCAACAUCGCCUAAUCAUUGCCGAAAAGAUGAUCGAAUACCAGGAGCUGCUCAAGAAGCGCAUCGAGAUGUUCCGUCGCGAGCUGCAAAACUAUUACGACCAGGUCCAGCUCUACGAUACUUGGGGCGACAUCAAACAGCUGUCCAAGUAUAAGAAACGUGCCGGUUUGCUGGAUCAGCGGCUGGUCAAUGCUAUGGAGACCAUCGAUCAGAUAAAUGAGGAGGAGACAGCCUACGGCUGGGAUCUGUCGCAAUAUCCGGUGCGAAAGAAGGCGCACGAUCAGUUAAAGCCAUAUAAAAAUCUAUUUGAUGCCGGUCAGGACUUUAUUGACAAGUGGGAGCUGUGGAUGUACUCGCAAGUCGGUUCCUUUGAUCCGGAUGCGAUUGAUCAGGAUGUGGCCAACUUUUAUCGCAUCAUACAGAAGCUGGAGAAGAUUAUGGGCGAGCAUCCCAUCACCAUGCAGCUCAUAUUGGAUGUGAAGGAGCAAAUUGAGCUGUUCCGCGGACAUAUGCCUAUCAUUAACACCCUGGGCAAUCCGGGCAUGAAGGCGCGCCAUUGGGAACAAGUUUCCGAAAUAAUUGGCUUCCCAAUCAAGGUGUCGCCCGAGCUGACGCUGGAGAAGAUUAUCGAAUAUCAGCUGGAUGAGUAUGUACCCAAAUUUGAGGCUAUUUCUGAGAGCGCCACCAAGGAGAACAAUCUCGAAAAGGCCAUGGUCAAAAUGGCCAACGAAUGGGAGGGCGUCGAGUUCUCCAUAUCGCCAUACAGGGAUUCUGGUACCUACAAGCUGUCUGCCGUGGAUGACAUACAGAUAAUGCUGGACGAUCAAAUCAUCAAGACGCAGACAAUGAAGAGCUCACCCUACAUCAAACCAUUCGAGGCGGACAUACUCAAGUGGGAGGCGAAGCUUAUGUUGCUGCAGGAAAUUCUGGACGAAUGGCUGCGCGUGCAGGCCACCUGGAUGUAUCUGGAGCCUAUAUUUAGCAGUCCGGAUAUUCAGCAACAAAUGCCCGAGGAGGGACGUCGCUUCAGUGCAGUAGAUAAGAUUUGGAAGGAGCUGAUGAAGCAGGUGGCCUCGGAUCCGCGUGUGAUGACCGUUGUUCAAAUUGACAAGAUGAACGACAAACUGAAGAAGGCGUACUAUCUGCUGGAGAUAAUCCAAAAGGGUCUGAAUGCUUAUUUGGAGAAGAAGCGCUUAUACUUCCCUCGCUUCUUCUUCCUGUCCAAUGAUGAACUGCUCGAGAUUCUGUCCGAAACAAAGGAUCCCACACGCGUACAGCCGCAUCUCAAGAAGUGCUUCGAGGGCAUUGGCACGCUCAACUUCAACGAGGAAUUGGAGGUUAUCGCCAUGCGUUCCUCGGAGCGUGAAGAGGUUAUUCUGGCGGAUAUCAUAUCCACGGCCAAGGCGCGUGGCCAGGUGGAAAAAUGGCUGCUGGAGCUUGAAAUCGACAUGAAGAAAAGUGUUCAUCAAAAGAUAUCCGAAGCCUUCUACAGCUACAUGAAGAUGCAGCGCAGCAUUUGGGUACUCACAUGGCCGGGUCAGUGUGUCCAGUCCAUAUCGUUGACCUAUUGGACACUGGAGAUUACCGAAUGCUUUGUCAGCGAAACGCCCAAAGAGAAUUUGGCCAAGUAUCUGCAAAAGUGCAUGAAUCAAAUUAUGAAAAUUGUCGAUCUGGUGCGCGGUGAUCUUAACACACAGAAUCGCAUAACAUUGGGCGCCUUGGUGGUACUGGAUGUCCAUGCACGCGAUGUGCUUGCCGAUAUUGUGGCCAAGGAGGUGGAAGACCUGCAGGACUUUCAGUGGCUAUGCCAGUUGCGCUAUUACUGGGAGGAGAACAACUUGGAUACGCGCAUGAUCAACUGCUCCUUGCCCUAUGGUUACGAGUAUCUGGGUAAUACGACACGACUGGUGGUCACUCCGCUGACAGAUCGUUGCUAUCGCACGCUGUUUGCCGCCUUGAAUUUGCAUUUGGGCGGCGCUCCGGAGGGUCCGGCUGGCACUGGCAAAACGGAGACUACAAAAGAUUUGGCCAAGGCCGUGGCCAAGCAAUGUGUCGUAUUUAAUUGCUCCGACGGCUUGGACUAUCUGGCGCUGGGCAAGUUCUUUAAGGGUUUGGCCUCGUGCGGCGCUUGGUCCUGCUUCGAUGAGUUCAAUCGUAUUGAUCUGGAGGUGUUGUCUGUGGUCGCACAACAGAUUCUCACCAUACAGCGUGGCAUUAACUCGGGCUUACCCACAUUGGUGUUUGAGGGCACAACCUUAACGCUGGAUCCCACUUGUGCGGUCUUCAUCACAAUGAAUCCCGGUUACGCGGGACGAUCGGAGUUGCCUGAUAAUCUAAAGGCUCUCUUCCGCUCUGUGGCUAUGAUGGUGCCGGAUUAUGCUUUAAUUUCCGAAAUUGAACUUUACUCGUAUGGUUUCCUAACGGCCAAACCGCUUUCUGUCAAGAUUGUAGCCACGUAUCGCCUGUGCUCGGAGCAGCUGAGUACCCAGUGCCAUUAUGAUUAUGGUAUGCGAGCUGUCAAAUCGGUGCUGAAGGCGGCGGGCGCCUUGAAGUUGCGCUAUCGCGAUGAGAACGAGGAUAUAUUGGUGUUGCGCUCCAUUAAGGAUGUGAAUUUGCCCAAGUUCUUGAAUCAGGAUAUACCGCUAUUCCAGGGCAUUACGUCCGAUCUGUUUCCGGGCGUCACACUGCCCGAGGCGGACUAUGUGCUCUUCAAUGAGUGCACGCAAUUGGCCUGCGACAGGCAGAACAAACAAUGCACACCGUUUGUCCUGGAGAAGGUGCAACAGCUGUACGAGAUGAUUGUGGUGCGUCAUGGUCUGAUGCUGGUGGGUUAUCCAUUUGGCGGCAAGAGCACAACUUACCGCGUGCUUGCCGAGGCUCUGGAGUGCAUGGAGAAUAAGAAUGGCUCUGAGAAUCGUGCUACAUACACUAUAAUCAAUCCGAAGGCCAUAACCAUGGGUCAGCUUUACGGCCAAUUCGAUGCUGUUUCCCAUGAGUGGAGCGAUGGCAUUUUGGCUGUCAAUUAUCGCAUCUUUGCCGUCUCCGAUACGCCCGAUCGCAAGUGGCUAAUCUUUGAUGGGCCCGUGGAUGCCAUUUGGAUUGAGAACAUGAACACUGUUCUGGAUGAUAAUAAGAAAUUGUGCCUUAUGUCUGGUGAGAUUAUACAGCUCUCGAAUACCACGAAUCUCAUAUUUGAGCCUAUGGAUCUGGAGGUGGCCUCACCGGCUACCGUUUCGCGUUGCGGCAUGAUCUACUUGGAGCCUAGCUCGCUAGGCUGGGAGCCGCUGGUGGCCUCCUGGAAGAAUACUCUGCCCGUUGCUUUUCACAGCGUAAGCAAACAGCUAAUCUCAUCGAUGAUUUCACGUUUCUGCCCGCUGCUAUUGCACGUGGUGCGAAAGGGUUUGCGCGAAAUUGCCCCCACGUCGGACACCAAUCUGAUGGUUAGUCUGAUGAAUUUCUUUGAGUGCUUCAUUGAUGAUUUCCGUGAUGAGAAAUAUGUGGCAAACAUAUCUGAUUUGGAUUUUCGCGCACAAACCGAGGGCAUCUUUCUAUUCUCAACGAUUUGGUCACUUGGCGGUUCACUGACCGCCGAGAGCCGGGAGAAAUUCAAUAUAGUCUUUCGUGCGCUUAUGGAGAAGACCUUUCCACAGAACCUAUAUGAUGCCUAUGGCGUUACAGAAGAUUUAUAUGUGGAGCCGCUGUCCAAGCCUUUCAUAUUUCCCAUACCCAAACAGGGUUCGGUCUUUGACUAUCGCUUCAUAAAGGAGGGCAAGGGCAAAUGGAAGCCCUGGCAGGAUGAUGUCAAUUCCGCACCACCGCUGCCACGCGACAUACCAGUUAAUCAGAUUAUCAUACAGACGAAUGAGAGCGUGCGCAUUGCAGCCGUUCUGGAUCUGUUGGUGCGACAUGGCAAGCCGCUGAUGCUGGUCGGACCGACGGGCACCGGCAAGAGUGUCUAUGUGAUAGAUUUUAUGCUAAAGAAAAUGGAUUUGAGUGUGUACAAGCCACUGUUGAUCAGUUUCUCGGCACAAACAUCGGCUAAUCAAACGCAGGACAUAAUCAUGUCCAAGCUGGACAAGCGGCGCAAGGGCGUCUUUGGGCCACCUCUAAAUAGUCGCUUUGUCAUCUUUGUAGAUGAUGUUUCCAUGCCACUGAAGGAGAACUAUGGCGCCCAGCCGCCCAUUGAAUUGCUGCGCAUGAUGCUGGAUCAUAUGAUGUGGUACGAUCGCAAGAAUAUUGUGCCCAUGAAAUUGAUUGAUUUGCAAAUGAUUACCGCCAUGGGUCCGCCUGCGACGGGCAAUACGGUGACGCCACGUUUUCAGCGUUUCUUCAAUGUGGUAUCCAUUGAUGACUUUAAUGAUGCGAUUAUGACCACCAUCUUUAGCAAAAUUGUGCUCUGGCAUUUGGAUGCGCGCGGCUUCUCGAAGGAGUUUGAUCCUUGCAUCGAUGAGAUUGUCAGUGCCACAUUGUCCAUUUACAAUGAUGCCAAGCUAAAUCUAUUGCCGACACCAGCUAAAUCGCAUUAUUUGUUCAAUUUGCGUGAUUUUUCGCGUGUUAUACAGGGUGUUCUGCUUUCGGUGCCGGAGGCCACGGAGGACAUGAACUCGAUGCGUAGGCUGUGGGUGCAUGAGGUUUUGCGCGUCUACGGCGAUCGUUUGGUUGAGGACGGUGAUCGUACCUGGCUAUUUGGGAAACUAUGCAGCACUGUGCAGGAAUGCUUUAAUCUCGAUGUGUCGCGUCUGUUUGCACGCUUUGUGCGUCAGGGCAAAAAACUGGAAGAGUCCGAUUUCCGACAGUUGAUCUACUGCGACUUUACCAAUCCGAAAGCGGAUACUAAGAAUUACGUUGAGGUGCAGGAUGUCGAGGAGUUGCGCAUCGUUGUGGAGGCCUAUCUAGUUGAAUAUAAUAAUAUGUCCAAGAAGCCAAUGAAUCUGGUACUUUUCCGCUUUGCAAUCGAACAUUUAUCGCGCAUAUGUCGCAUCAUAAAGCAGCCACGUAGUCAUGCUCUGCUCAUCGGUGUCGGCGGCUCCGGGCGUCAGAGCUUGACUCGUUUGGCUUCGCAUAUAUGCGACUAUGAGCUCUUUCAAGUGGAAAUAACUCGAUUGUAUGGUCCGUAUGAGUAUCAUGAGGAUAUCAAAUCCAUAUUACGUAAAAUUGGUGCCUCUGAAAUGCACGGCGUUUUCCUCUUUACGGACGUUCAGAUCAAAGACGAAUCUUUUCUGGAGGAUAUCAACAAUCUGUUAAACUCCGGCGAGGUGCCAAAUCUGUUCUCAAACGAGGAGAAAAUCGAGGUGGUCGAAAAGAUGGCACAAAUCGACAAACAGCGCGACAAGGCCGUACAAACCGAUGGCAGUCCCGUUGCCCUAUUUAACUUUUUCGUUACGACAUGCAAGGAUCAACUGCAUAUUGUGCUGGCCAUGUCGCCCAUUGGCGAUGCGCUGCGUAAUCGUAUACGAAAAUUCCCCUCGAUUGUCAAUUGUUGUACGAUUGAUUGGUUCCAGCCCUGGCCGGAGGAUGCUCUGCUCGCGGUAUCCACACGUUUCCUGGCCGAAGAGGAGCUGACUGCUCUGGAGCGCAAAACAGCCAUCGAUAUGUGCAUGGAGUUCCAUACAUCAACCCAGGAGCUGUCGACCAAGUUCUUCCUACGACUGCAUCGCUAUAACUAUGUGACGCCUACAUCCUAUCUGGAAUUGAUACAGACCUUCAAGGCAUUGCUUAGCCAAAAGAGAAACAAUAUAACCAUGAAUCGGAAUCGUUAUUUGACGGGCAUCUCGCAGCUGGAUAUUGCCGCACAGCAGGUGGCCGUCAUGCAGGAGCAGUUGCAGGCGCUGGAGCCAAAGCUGAAGGAGGCAUCUGAGAUUGUUGCCGAGCAGGUGGCCAAGGUGACGGCGGACAGUAAAAUUGCCGCUGAGCAGCGUGAAAUGGUCAAAGAGGAUGAGCAGGCGGCCAAGGUGCAGGCAGCUGUGGCCCAAGAGAUCAAAGAUGAAUGCGAUGCCAAAUUGGGUGAGGCGUUGCCCAUUCUGGAGGCCGCCUUAUCUGCCUUGAACACACUGACUACCGCUGAUAUUGCUGUGGUGAAGACCAUGAAGAGUCCGCCAAUUGGUGUGCGCAUCGUUAUGGAAGCUGUUUGCAUUCUGAAGGACGUGAAACCCGAAAAGGUGCCAAAUCCAAAUGGUGUGGGCACUGUCGAGGAUUACUGGGGUCCGUCAAAGCGUGUGCUUAGCGACAUGAAGUUCCUGGACAGUUUGCUCAACUUUGACAAGGACAACAUACCGCCAGAGGUCAUGAAGAAAUUGCAACAGCGCAUUCUCACUAAUGAGGCCUUCGAUCCCGAAAAGAUCAAGAUGGCGUCCACGGCCUGUGAAGGUCUCUGCCGCUGGGUCAUUGCUCUGUCCAAAUACGAUGUCGUUGCCAAGGUUGUGGCGCCCAAGAAAAUUGCUUUGGCUGCAGCCGAGGCCGACUACAAUGCGGCCAUGAAACUGCUCAACGAGAAGUUGGCCCAACUGGCCCGCGUCGAAGCGAAUCUGGCGGCCAUUCAAAAGAUUCUCGACGAACAGUUGCGGCAAUAUGGGAUUCUUUUAGCGGAGCAUGAAGCUUGUACAAAGAAGUUGCAGCGUGCCCAGGAGCUCAUCUCUGGCUUGGGCGGCGAGCGGACGCGUUGGUCCGAAACGGCCAAAAUGCUGCAGGGGAGCUUUAAGAGUGUAACGGGUGAUGUGCUAAUUUCGUCAGGUGUCGUUGCCUAUUUGGGACCAUUCACCAUUGAUUUUCGUGUUACGCAAAUUCGUAAAUGGGUUGCGAAGUGUCUGGAUUAUGGAGUUACCUGCUCGGCGGACUUUCAGCUGGCCAUUGUUUUGGGCGAACCGGUGGAGAUACGUUUCUGGAAUAUAUGCGGAUUGCCCACGGAUGCAUUUUCCGUUGAGAGCGCCAUCAUGAUGAAAAAUGCCCGCCGCUGGCCGCUGAUGAUUGAUCCGCAGGGACAGGCCAAUAAAUGGAUUAAGAACUAUGAGAAGAACAACAAGCUGUGCGUUAUACGUUUGAAUCAGGCGGAUUAUACGCGGGUGCUGGAGAAUGCCAUACAAUUUGGUUUGCCCGUGUUGCUGGAAAAUAUUGGCGAGGAAUUGGAUCCCAUACUGGAGGCCAUAUUGCUGAAGCAACUGUUCAAACAGGGCGGCACCAUGUGCAUUAAGCUGGGCGAUUCGGUUAUUGAAUAUAAUUACAGCUUCAGGUUCUAUAUGACAACUAAACUAAGAAAUCCCCACUAUUUGCCCGAGGUGGCGGUCAAGGUGACCUUAUUGAAUUUCAUGAUCACCACGCAGGGCUUACAGGAUCAAUUGCUGGGCAUAACCGUGGCGCGAGAACGACCUGAUUUGGAGGCGGAAAAGAAUAAUCUCAUUGUACAGGGCGCUGAGAACAAGCGUAUGCUGAAAGAGACUGAAGAUCAGAUAUUGGAGGUGCUCUCCUCGGCCGAUAAUAUAUUGGAGGAUGAAACUGCGGUGCAAAUAUUGAGCUCAGCCAAAGCUCUGGCCAAUGAUAUUAGCGAGAAGCAGAUUAUUACUGAGGCUACCGAAAAACAGAUCGAUUUGGCACGUCUCAGCUAUGUGCCCAUAGCGGAACACUCUACAAUUCUGUUCUUUACCAUAGUGGAACUGGCCAAUAUUGAUCCCAUGUAUCAGUACAGUUUGGUUUGGUUUGUCAAUCUGUAUAUGUCCUCCAUCGAUAAUACCGAAAAGGUCGAUGAUAUCGUGGCACGUCUAAAGGACUUGCGCAAUCAUUUCACCUAUAGCCUGUACGUCAACAUCUGCCGCAGUCUCUUCGAGCGUGAUAAGCUCUUGUUCUCCCUCAUAUUGAACGUCAAUCUGAUGAAGCAUGAAAAUUUGAUUGACAAUGGUGAAUGGAUGUUCCUGCUAACUGGCGGAAUUGGCCUCGAGAAUCCGUAUAAAAAUCCAACAGCCUGGCUGGGCGUACAAAAUUGGGAUGAAUGCUGCCGUUUAUCGAGCUUGUCAGCCUUUAAAGGACUACGCGAAGACGUCACUGACAAUUCGGCCUCUUGGAAGGUGUUCUUUGACUCGAAAACACCGCAGGACAAUAAGGCCAUACCAAGUGCGUGGCUAAAGCGCUUAAGCGUAUUCCAGCAAUUGUUGCUGUUGCGCGUCUUUCGACCGGAUAAACUGGUGCCAGCUGUCCUGAACUUUGUGGCCGGUGAGCUGGGUCAACGAUUCGUGGAUCCGCCGCAAUUCGAUUUGAUGGCCUCAUUUGGCGACUCCCACUGCUGUGUGCCCUUGAUAUUUAUAUUGACACCCGGCUCGGAUCCGACGGCCACGCUGUUGAAAUUUGCCGAGGAUCAGGGAUUCGGCACGAAUCGCUUGUUCUCCUUGUCGCUGGGCCAGGGACAGGGUCCCAUUGCCAUUAAGAUGAUCGACGAGGGCGUCAAGCUGGGCAAUUGGGUGGUCCUACAGAACUGUCAUUUGGCUGCAAGUUUUAUGCCAUCCUUGGAGAAGGUCUGCGAGAAUUUGCUGCCCGAUUCAACGCAUCCAGACUUUCGACUAUGGCUCACCUCAUAUCCGGCUGAGCAUUUCCCGGUUGUGGUGCUGCAGAAUGGCAUCAAAAUGACCAAUGAACCACCCAAGGGCUUGCGCUCCAAUAUAACGCGCUCCAUGCUCAGCGAUCCGAUUAGCGACCUGGAGUGGUAUGAGUCCUGCAAACAGCCGCGCAUCUUCAAGCAGCUGAUCUACUCGCUGUGCUUCUUUCAUGCUGUCAUUCAGGAGCGUCGCUACUUUGGACCAAUUGGCUGGAAUAUACCCUACGAGUUCAACGAAACGGAUCUGCGCAUCUCGUUGAUGCAGUUGCGCAUGUUCCUCAACCAGUACGAGACUGUUAAUUAUGAUGCCUUACGCUAUCUGACUGGCGAGUGUAAUUAUGGUGGACGUGUCACCGACGACUGGGAUCGUCGCACUUUGAAGACUAUACUGGAUCGCUUUUAUUGUCCGGCUGUACUCGAUUUGGAGAAACCCUACUAUUUGGAUGAGACGGGCUAUUAUUAUGUGCCCGUGUUCAAGGAUGUCGAAUUGUAUCUAACUUUUACGCGUGAACUGCCGCAAAUAUCGCCACCCUCCAUCUUUGGCUUCCAUGCGAAUGCGGAUAUUAUGAAGGAUCAACAGGAAACGGACAUGUUGCUCUCACACACACUAUUGACACAGGACACAAGCGGUUCCCAAGACGACAGCGGAGGCUCCAAGGCGCUGACGCCCGAGGAGGUGGUGACCAAUGUGGCAACCGAUAUCUUGGAUAAGCUGCCCAAACUGUUCGACCGGGAGGCUGCUCUUCUACGCUAUCCGACCAAAUAUCAUCAGAGCAUGAAUACGGUGCUGGUGCAGGAAAUGGUGCGAUUCAAUGUCCUGCUAAAUACAAUACGCACCAGUUUGAUAACGCUCAAAAAGGGUAUCAAGGGUCUGGUGGUCAUGUCCGCUGCCGUCGAGGCGGUCUACAAGUCUGUGCUGAUUGCCAAAAUACCCGCCAUGUGGGCCAGCAAGUCCUACCCCAGCCUAAAGCCACUUGGCAGCUAUGUGACGGACUUUUUGCGACGGCUCGAAUUCCUGCAGCACUGGUACGACCAUGGCGCACCUUCGACCUUCUGGCUGUCGGGUUUCUUUUUUACCCAGGCUUUCCUUACCGGCGCCCAGCAGAAUUAUGCGCGUAAAUAUGUCAUUUCCAUAGAUCUGCUGGCCUUUGAUUAUGAGGUUCUGUCGAUUGAUGAGACACGAAUCAAAGGUGUAUCUGCGCCCGACGAUGGUGUGUUUGUGUAUGGCAUCUUUCUGGAGGGCGCUUGCUGGGAUCGCCAGAACAAAUAUCUCGCCGAAUCGCGUCCACGCAUGCUCUUCGACACGAUGCCACUGAUUUGGCUGAGGCCACUGAAGCGCUCCGAUCUGCCCGAGCGGCACAAUUAUUUGUGUCCACUCUACAAGACGGCUGAGCGACGCGGCAUUCUGUCCACCACCGGACACAGCACCAACUUUGUGGUGGCCAUGCUGCUGAACUCUAAUCCAAAUACACCCAUCGCCCAUUGGAUCAUACGCGGCACGGCGCUUCUCUGCCAAUUGAGCUUCUAAAUUGCGCGGACUUUCAAGCAGGCACUUAUCGAAGAUAUUAAGGACUUGGCGCAUGAAGAUUGAUUGAAGAAACCAUUUCAAUAGAUUCUAUUGCUAUUCGUGAGUCUAUAUGUUAUAUUCAGCAACGCACUGCAACUAUCCGGGAUAAAGUUUAUUAAGUAAAUUAAUAAAAGGACCUCAAUAAAAUAAAAUUAGCAAUAAUUAUAAGUUCUACC